UACGGAGGAUCCAAGCGUUAUCCGGAAUCAUUGGGUUUAAAGGGUCCGUAGGCGGUUUAAUAAGUCAGUGGUGAAAUCUGGUCGCUCAACGAUCAAACGGCCAUUGAUACUGUUAGACUUGAAUUAUUGGGAAGUAACUAGAAUAUGUAGUGUAGCGGUGAAAUGACUUAGUAUAAUUACAUUGGAAUAGACCAAUUCGACGUAAG
rnacentral:rRNA from 1 species